rnacentral:rRNA from 1 species
GACGAACGCUGGCGGCGUGCUUAACACGUGCAAGUCGAACGGAAAGGCCCUGCUUUUGUGGGGUGCUCGAGUGGCGAACGGGUGAGUAACACGUGAGUAACCUGCCCUUGACUUUGGGAUAACUUCAGGAAACUGGGGCUAAUACCGGAUAGGAGCUCCUGCUGCAUGGUGGGGGUUGGAAAGUUUCGGCGGUUGGGGAUGGACUCGCGGCUUAUCAGCUUGUUGGUGGGGUAGUGGCUUACCAAGGCUUUGACGGGUAGCCGGCCUGAGAGGGUGACCGGCCACAUUGGGACUGAGAUACGGCCCAGACUCCUACGGGAGGCAGCAGUGGGGAAUAUUGCACAAUGGGCGGAAGCCUGAUGCAGCAACGCCGCGUGCGGGAUGACGGCCUUCGGGUUGUAAACCGCAUUCGCCUGUGACGAAGCGUGAGUGACGGUAAUGGGUAAAGAAGCACCGGCUAACUACGUG